UGGCCCAUAGUGUAAUGGUAGCACCCAAGUUUUUGGUACUUGUAGUCAAGGUUCGAGUCCUUGUGGGCCAG
rnacentral:tRNA from 1 species